UUCAAGUUCACACACUGGAGGUGGCAGAGCUGAAGAUGUUGAGAUUCUCUAUGGGAGUGAGGAGAAUGGACAGGUUGAGGAAUGAACAUAUCAGAGGGACAGCUCAGGUGGGACGGUUUGGAGGCAAGACUGAGAUGGUUUGGACAUGGGCAGAGGACGGACCCAGGGUAUAUAGGGAGAAGGAUGAUGAGGAUAGA